rnacentral:rRNA from 1 species
AGUGUGGUAGGGGCAGAGGGAAUUCCCGGUGUAGCGGUGAAAUGCGUAGAUAUCGGGAAGAACACCAGUGGCGAAGGCGCUCUGCUGGGCCAUAACUGACGCUCAUGGACGAAAGCCAGGGGAGCGAAAGGGAUUAGAUACCCCUGUAGUCCUGGCCGUAAACGAUGAACACUAGGUGUCGGGGGAAUCGACCCCCUCGGUGUCGUAGCCAACGCGUUAAGUGUUCCGCCUGGGGAGUACGCACGCAAGUGUGAAACUCAAAUGAA